AUUGAACGCUGGCGGCAUACUUUACACAUGCAAGUCGAACGGUAACAGGGUGCUUGCACCGCUGACGAGUGGCGAACGGGUGAGUAAUGCGUCGGAACGUGCCGAGUAGUGGGGGAUAACGCAGCGAAAGUUGUGCUAAUACCGCAUACGUACUGAGGUAGAAAGUGGGGGACCUUCGGGCCUCACGCUAUUCGAGCGGCCGACGUCUGAUUAGCUAGUAGGUGAGGUAAGGGCUCACCUAGGCGACGAUCAGUAGCGGGUCUGAGAGGAUGAUCCGCCACACUGGGACUGAGACACGGCCCAGACUCAUACAGGAGGCAGCAGUGGGGAAUUUUGGACAAUGGGCGAAAGCCUGAUCCAGCCAUGCCGCGUGUCUGAAGAAGGCCUUCGGGUUGUAAAGGACUUUUGUCCGGGAGCAAAUGCCUGGUGUUAAUAGCACUGGGAGCUGAGAGUACCGGAAGAAUAAGCACCGGCUAACUACGUGCCAGCCGCCGCAGUAAGAC
rnacentral:rRNA from 1 species